UGGAUUUUGGACUUUUUUGAUCAAAAAUUUGUCUCCUUUGACUUGACAUUUUAGAAACAAAAUGAUAAAUGGAUUCAUUGUGAAAAUAACCAGCAGAUUCAUCAAUAUGGAAAUAAUAGUUAGUUGCUCCCCCUAUCCAUUAGAAAAAACAUCAUGCUGAAGCAAAUGUGGUGCUUCAGCAUCAGUUUAGUUCCAGAUUUUGCUUUAUUUUAAAUUUCAUUUGAACAUUUUUCAGUUAAAGACAGAUGUCAGUUAUUAUAGCCGUACUGCUGCUGCUGCCGAUCAUCCAUCCGUUUUCUUUACCGCUCGUCCUCUAGAGGGUCGCUGGGGAGCUGCAGCCAAUCAGAGCUGACACCGGGUGAGAGGCGGGGUUCACCCUGGACAGAUCACCAGUCAAUCACAGACUGACAACCAUUCACACCUGCAGGCAAUUUAGAUUCAGCAGUUAACUUCACCUGCAUGUUUCUGCUCUGUGGGAGGCAGGCACAGGAAACUCCAGCUCCUGCUGCGGCUCCGUUAACGUUUUAAAACAUUAAAUCGUGGUGUAAUCGGAGCUGUGAUGAACCUGUCCAGCUGUGUGCAGAACCUCUUUAAUGAUAUAAAACAGAAGAAAGCAGCAAAUCCUCUCACUGAAGAAGCAGGAAACAGAGAAUAGUUGGUAGAUUAUCCACCUGAUGAUAAGUCGUGCAUCCUGCAAACCAAAGUGAAUCUCCUGAGAAACACUUUGUCCUCCUGAGGCUGUUUUUUUCUUUCCUUUGUGCUGUGAAAGGCUCAACAGAUGUGUAACCACUUGUCUUCUGGCACAACAAACGUAGCUGGAUGACGUCUCAGCUCUUCGUCGGGGGACUCGGCUUCAGGACCUGGACUGAUCAAAAACUCAGCAACACAUUUUUGGUCCUAAAAGCAUUUUACCACCUACUUAACUUAGGAAACAACUCCCUUCUCUCCUCUGAUAUUUAGGAGCAGCAGAGGAGUCCUGGCCUGCUGGGAUUAGCAUGAACAUGGAGGUCAGACAGAAAGUCUGUGGGAGGAGAGAGAUAUGAUGAGGAUCCACGAUGACACUGAGCCAAUCAAAAGAUUGGCAAACAUUUAAAGUCCCCUCCGCUUUCAAAAAACAUGUUUUUCUUCUUCUUCUUCUUCUUUCAGUUGGAUGUUGCUCUGUUCUCUGUGCAGAGUUUGUU